rnacentral:tRNA from 1 species
CCAGUGGUAGUUUAUUUAAACCGUGGGCCUGUGGAGCCCGAGACCUAUUUUAUAGUCAUUGGC